GCUGAGAAUGAUGCAGAGACAAAAACCAGUCCUUCUCUCCCAAGCGAAGAAACGUCUUAAGCUAAUUUAAGUCAGUGAGUGAGUGGCUGACGGUGGUGAAGGGUGGGGUGAGACUCUGUUCCUCCCCUGCACACCCUGGCCUCAAAGCUCCAGUGACUCUUUGAAGCAUUCGGUGCAGAGAAUGUGCUAUCAGUCAAACACUGACAUUUUACAGACAGUAUUCAGGAACAAUCCUGAUCCAGAGGAACUAAACUCCCAAGCUGUUUGCCUUCUUUAAUUCAGGAGACAGAAAUAUGUGGAGAUAUAUGGGGAAACACCAUUUUUUUUAGCUUUGGGAAAUGCUUUUACCUCUAAAAACAAGAAGGACACAAUCUAACAAAAGCUUUGAAUGCAGUCAAUGAAAAAGUCGAGCUGCGUCCUCAAACAGUAAGUUGGCCACUGCUUCUUCAGAUGGGACUGAUAGUUUUACCACAUGCUGACAUAAUUGUUUAACCUUUCAAUACUGCAUUGAGUACUCAAACAAUAAGACAUAUAUUCAACUUACUAUUUCUUGCCCACUAGUUUGGGUUAUAAAUAAAUUCUCUCAGUUUUUUACUAUUUGCUGAUUCCAGGUUCUCCAACAAGCAGCUUCCAAGAGACAAAAUACAUUAAUUGUGUCUUCGGGAAACUGAGAAACCCAUUUUGACAAUCUAUUUUGUCAUGAUGUAGGCUAAAAUAACUAAUUGGUGGUGGUGGUGUGUGAACAAUAAUGACGAUAACCAUUAUUUUUAAUGGAGAAACUGCAGCUCAUAGUUUGAUAGUUUGUUCCAUUCUGAUAAUGUAAUUAAAAUAAUGGUUCAUUAGUCAGUAUUUCACAAGUGGACAAGUGAGAGGGACGAAGUGGUCCACUUUAUGUCUAGAGGUUCAGCUUCUCCGCAUUUAGUCAGUCAUCAGGGGGUUCCUCUCUUAGCUCCAUGGCAUAAUUGGCAAACCGUGUGGUGUCAUCUUACCCUCCUCUUUUCAGUGCAGCCCUUUCCCCUCCUCCCUUCCCCAAAUGGAAAGGGUGGAGAGUGAGGGAGUCUUUCACAUGUUAGUUUGGUUUGCUGUAACAGUCCACUGACAGUUUGGCUCAAAAAGCAGCUCCAUACUGAGCUUCAUAUAUCUGGGUCAGGGUCUGCUAAUGCCAGCUAUAUUUGAUCUAUGUGGAUGUCAUCAUUGGACCUUUGGAGAGGCUCUUUUGCUUUUGUGCUGAUCGGCCAUUAAAACAGAGAGUGGGUAAGUGCUGUGAUGUGAUGAUACACAUACUAGUCGACAUAAAAGAUCUCAGCUCUGGCUGAUAUUCUCUGGGCAACUGAUUCAGGUUAACUAUGCUUUUGGUCUCAUAUUUCAGAAUAUAUCACGCACAUAUCACGUGCAACUGCACAGUCUGGGCAUGAAUGUAAGGAUUUAACGUGUUCUUGAUUGUGUGCGCACACCUGCUGACUCAUCACUGAAGCGAACAAUUGUUUAUCUAGCAUACAUAUUUGCCUGUGUGAGAUGCAAAUAAAUACUUUCAAAAGAC